rnacentral:rRNA from 1 species
AUACGUAGGUGGCAAGCGUUGUCCGGAUUUACUGGGCGUAAAGAGUAUGUAGGCGGAUAUUUAAGUGAGAUGUGAAAAUCCCGGGCUUAACUUGGGAACUGCAUUUCAAACUGGGUAUCUAGAGUGCAGGAGAGGAAAGCGGAAUUCCUAGUGUAGCGGUGAAAUGCGUAGAGAUUAGGAAGAACACCAGUGGCGAAGGCGGCUUUCUGGACUGUAACUGACGCUGAGGCAUGAAAGCGUGGGGAGCAAACAGGAUUAGAUACCCUGGUAGUCCACGCUGUAAACGAUGAAUACUAGGUGUGGGAGUUAUCGUGACUUCCGUGCCGCAGUUAACACAAUAAGUAUUCCGCCUGGGGAGUACGGUCGCAAGAUUAAA